CACGGAGGGAGCAAACGUUGUUCGGAAUCACUGGGCGUAAAGGGCGCGUAGGCGGCUUCUUUAGUCGAGGGUGAAAACCUAUGGCUUAACCAUAGGCCUGCCCCCGAAACUGGGAAGCUUGAGGCCGUAAGAGGAAAGCGGAAUUCCAGGUGUAUCGGUGAAAUGAGUUGAUAUCUGGAGGAACACCGGUGGCGAAGGCGGCUUUCUGGUGCGGUUCUGACGCUGAGGUGCGAAAGCAUGGGGAGCAAACGGG
rnacentral:rRNA from 1 species